UGGAGGGAGUGGCACCAUAAAGUCGGCGCUUGCCGAUAAUCCACAAAAAAAGCAGUUCCUUGUAUAGACUCGAUCCGUAAUUUCCAUCCCUUCUACGUAGACCGUCUACCUAAAAGAAAAAGCGCAAAAAACUAAACCUGUACAGUGGUCGUUGAGCAAUGGUCGAAUUGGCGUAUACGGUUUGGGUUGCUUUGGCAUAUACAAUAUAACGCUACCAAAUUAAUAAUUGCUCUUAUUUGUCUGUUCUAGUACAGGAGUUUUCGGAACCGUCAAAGGCUGAUGUGUGCGACGAAGCGGAAGGCGAUUGGUGUUGUAUGAUGAGUAGUGCAGGGUUACCGUCCUCUACCAGCGAAACCGUUGCUAUCACGCUUGAUGAUUAUACCUCUCAGGACUUGGCCGCGCGUCUGGCAUGAUCGGGGCCGACUUCGAGCAAAUCACGUUGACGUUCAGCUUCGCUAGGUGACAAGGAUCGACUGAAGUGUAAGAUGGCGACGUUGAAGCUUCACUAUAAGCUUACGACUGUUUGGCUACCACUGGAUUCAAGUACUAACGCACUAAGACAUCGAACUACUAGAAGGUUUUCAGGGGUGUCUUGCUAUCUUCGUCGGCCCAUUCCAGACGCAGUUUUACGGACUAAAAUUUUAAGUGUACGUAUAAAUAUUAUAGACCAAUCUCAUUCUUUUUGUUCUAGCCAGACAUCGAGGGGAAAUAUCUAGAUGGCGAAUUUAUUCAGUAGACGAGUCAAAUAACGGCGUUUGGUAGGGGGCUCGUUGAAAACAUUCGUGGCUCAUAAAUUCCCUUUCUGCAAAGGCUAAUCCACCUCAUUUCUCGCAAGAGUCGUUGCCAUGACAACGCCAGUGCAACGGGCUGCCCCACACUCAGCAAUGGCUAGAAGAGGCCAUAGUCUCUGUGCGUUAGCAUCCUGCGGUAAUGAUUUGUCUGUGUUCAACGUUGCCGUUCGUAUCACCAUUUACAGCUGACAUUUAUACGUCUUUUAUACGUCCGCUUAUAUAGGUUCGCACGUUUGUAUCUAUGUUUGAGUUCUGUUAUUAAAUGAACAGCGCUGGUUUACCGUGAGACUUGACGCGAGUAAUUAAGAAAUGAGCAGUGAAUGUAGGGUUCGCUGGAACCGCCUGAGCCUUUAAGCUGCGCACUGUUUUCCAUAUGUAUACGUCUUGAAUAUCUUAUUUUGCUACUAUCCGGUUCUACCAUUGAUCUUGUCUUUGUUUACAGUUAGUUGAUAGGGAUUGAUAGAUGUAGUCACGUCAGAAGAUGUUUUGGUGGAGACUAUCCGAAAUGGCAUGGAGCCAGCACUUCUUAUCUUCAUAAAUAAAUACACUAGCGAAGAUAUGCAUGCAUUUGUAUAUCGUGCAGAUUUAUAGUUCGUCUAUCAGCCACUACGUUGUAAUAAGUAAUAGUGUUUAUAGUUGUGAUUUAAAAAAUUCGAUUUUGUGCGCUACGCCUUUAAUUUACGUUCGCAAUAAACAUCUAGGCUCUCCCGAUCGGUACGGAAGAGCUUUUCCGAGAAACAUAUAUACGCGUGUAUAUUAUAUAACCAGCAAGCAUCAUAUAUAAAUUCAGGCAAUGAAUAACUUGAAAUAUAUGUAGUUAUCUUGCCUUUCAUUGUAUUUAGACCAACCGGAAACUCAAAAGCAUAUCUCACAAGUCUUUGUCGUGACGAGAAUUUAUUCGAAAUUUCAAAUAUAUCACCACAAAUUGCCGUAGCACCUUAUAGCUUGCGUUUUCCUUGCAGAAGAUCCUUAGUUGGUUACUAGGAUAAAAUGGCCAUAUAUUAGCUUUCCUUACGUAAAGUAGUCGUUCAUCCUUAAGAAGAUUUUGUCGUCCGAUGUAAGGUACAGGUUGCUUAUAACAAGGGUCUGAGUAAGCGCGUACACACACAGACACAUACAUAUGUACAUAUAUGCGAACACGAAUUCAAGAGUUUAAAGCCUGGGAGGUUUGUGCCUUGUUUCGACGGUCAGCGAAUUGCGAUUUUAGUGGGACUAUGCAAUGUAGGCUGGUAUCAGCUUUGCAAAAACUAGUCUCAGUUUUAAGCCUACUGUUUUCGAAUAGAA